rnacentral:rRNA from 14 species
UACGCCGUGUAAAGCCCCUUCGACGAGUCGAGUUGUUUGGGAAUGCAGCUCUAAAUGGGAGGUAAAUUUCUUCUAAAGCUAAAUACUGGCCAGAGACCGAUAGCGCACAAGUAGAGUGAUCGAAAGAUGAAAAGCACUUUGGAAAGAGAGUCAAACAGCACGUGAAAUUGUUGAAAGGGAAGCGCUUGCAG